GCCAGACUCCUACGGGAGGCAGCAGUGGGGAAUAUUGCACAAUGGGGGAAACCCUGAUGCAGCGACGCCGCGUGAGUGAAGAAGUAUCUCGGUACGUAAAGCUCUAUCAGCAGGGAAGAAAAAAAGUCCUUCGGACUUUGGACGGUACCUGAUUAAGAAGCCCCGGCUAACUACGUGCCAGCAGCCGCGGAAAUACGGAGGGGGCAAGCGUUAUCCGGAUUUACUGGGUGUAAAGGGAGCGUAGACGGGACAGCAAGUUAGUUGUGAAAGCCCUCGGCUUAACUGAGGAACUGCAACUAAAACUAUUGUUCUUGAGUGCAGGAGAGGAAAGCGGAAUUCCUAGUGUAGCGGUGAAAUGCGUAGAUAUUAGGGGGAACACCAGUGGCGAAGGCGACUUUCUGGACAGUAACUGACGUUGAGGCACGAAAGUGUGGGGAGCAAACAGGAUUAGAUACCCUCGUACU
rnacentral:rRNA from 1 species